CGCGGUGAGAGGCGAUAUGUGAGAUUCUCCUCUCCCCACGAUGAACAGGUCGUGAGCAUCAUCCAUUGAUCUUAUGCCUGCUACUGUCUCCUCGCCGUUGUUCGAGACUUUCUCGUUCGAUGAAUCGCAUUACGAUUAAGCUUACUCGCGGAUUUUCUGACAUUCUCCAUGCGUAUGAUAGGGCUUCUCUAUCGUCUUGUCCCCCGAAGAACAACAUUGUUAUGUUAUAGUGACAUUCCUUGUUCGAUGCGACUCGAUUCGAGCCGUUUAAGCCUCGAUCCACUAGGAUUCCGACGGAACAAGGGGCAUUGGCUAACACAUUUUGGUUGACCAAUCUAAACGCUGGAUUUGUGGCUUCCAUUCCUCCAUCCACUGUUUGUUGCUUGUGGAAUGGGAUGAUUAUGAAGGCCACACGUUUAUCCUCGGCUAAAUUGCAGAUGUCUUCGUGCAUUGUGGAGUAGGGGGAAAUGGCUGUGAGCGGCUGAACAGAGAUGCAUUCGACGUGUUGCUCGUAGUUCUCGAAUGCAUUGAUGAUAUGAUCUGAUUGAGCUUGGGUUCGAUUUAGGGCAGGGCGACCUGAUUUUCUGGUGUUGUGGACAAUGAGCAUGGCAGAGGCUCGGCCUGUGAGUUCGACCAAGUGUAGAACGUAAAUGCAAAUUGGGGAUCUUUUGGUUGGGUUUGAGGCAUCAAGGAGGUUAAUGAUCGUUGGCACAUUUCGAGAUUAUGGUAACUACAGGCGUUAUUAUCCCAGUCAUAAACAGGGCUACAAUCACCAUAACUGUGAACGUUUUAUCAUCCAACACCUGCAUAUUAUGUUUACAUUGAUACUUUGGUGAGAAUGGCCUGAAAAGAGGAAAAGGAAAAACAACCCAACUUCUUCUAUCUGCAGAGCAUUCCAGGUUCUUGAUGAAACUUUGGAAGCUGUACGAGGAAGAACGUGAAACUUUUGAAAGAAAAUGAACCAAUGAACUGUAAAUGCUUAGAGUUUCAUUGGUUUGCUGUCUCUGUUACCAGCGAGGACCCAGCUUAUCUGAUUGGGUAAGAAGAAAACAGAACAAGAAAUAU